UUUUUUUUUUUUUUUUUUUGUAGUUGUGAGAGAUGUUGCAUAUGCCAAAAUUAUAAAGCAUAGAUAUACAAGAAAAGAUAAAAUUGUAGAAUCCAUUAGCAUGAGAGUUGUUGGACCGCAGUCUGCCCAUUCAAGGAGUUCUAAUUGGAUCAUCUUCUUGCUGCAGAUUUCAAGCGUCUGGAAAAAUUGGAGUUUCUUGACUUAAGCGGUAAUCAAUUUUCUGGUUCCUUGUCCUUUAAAGGUACGCAUAUCCAAAUUGAGAUAAAGGUGUAUAUAGUUGAACUGGGAUACGUUAUUUUUCUUUUCAAAAAAAAUAAUAAUUACGGUCCUAGAAUAAGCUAGAUGCGAAAUAAUUUUCUUUGGAUCCUGCCACAUGAUUUGGAGUAUAACCAUUAUUUUCUCUUUCUAUUUCAAGAUUUUAAGGAUAGGACAGAACUAUCUGUAUACUUUUCCCUAUUUCUAUAAUUUGAUGUUAUAUUUUGUCCAAAUUCCAAUAAGGAAAUAAAUUCCUAAAAAUUAACAAAUUUUUACAGUCUAGUAAUGAAUCACCAAUCACCAAACCUUUCUAAAAUCUAAUUUAGCUUACUGUAGUGUUUCCUAUGUCAACUGAACUGCUAAACUCCUAAAAAUAAUUAAUUGGUCGUUCUAUUUAUUUUUUCAAUUAAAAAGAGACAAAAUUUACGGCAUGUGAAUUGCACGUUACAUUUGGAACAUUUUCCUCAUUGCAUAUAUGAAAAUAAUAAAAUGGACUAAAUGAGAAUUUAGAAAAGUUUACUGAUUGUUGACGUGCUUUAUAAGAAAACAUUUUGGAAAUUAAAUAAAAAAGUAAAAAACUAUAUUAGCAAAACAUUACGAAACAGGUGGUCCUUGCACUCCAAAAUCUUUCGAGAAAUAAUAGAAGUACUUUAGUAAGAAAAUAACUUGAUUCAUAAAAAAAGUAGAGAAAUAAAAUUUACAAAAAAAAUGUCACUGCAAAAUUUUAAGAAAAUAUUACAUUGGCCAGCAAGUAAAGAAGAAUAUAAAGCAGAAUUUCUUCGAAAAGAAAGAAAUUUAGCAUUUCAUAAUUCUUUUAUGAUACUUUCUUUGACCUUACGUAAAUUUCUUUGACUUUCUGUUUGUCUAUUUUUUCUUUUUCCGCUUCAUUGUUUUAGUUCUUGUUUCGCACGUAGAAGUAAAUGAAUAUCUAUACUUAUAAUGACUUAGUAUUAUUUAUUUGUACUCUAUUCCAAUUAAAAGCUCUUAAAUGAGAACUUUAAUUGUAAAGCGUCUUAUUCUUUUCAAUUUUACCUUCACAAAUAUGGGAUUAGAGGGGUGGCUUGAUUUACAGAUUCAAAGUUGUUUACAUUUUAAUAAGUAUCUGUGGACUAACAUGCGAGCAGUAGUCUGAAAGAUGUUAAUUAGUUAAUUUUAUUUUUAAUGUGGUGAUAUACCUAAAUUAUAAAGUAUAGAUGCACCAGAAAAGAUAAAAAUGUCCAAUCCAUAGGCAUGAGGGUUGUGGGCGUGGAAUCUGCCCAUUCUGAGUUCUUGGAUCAUCUUGUUGCUGCACAUAUGAUGCUGGAUUUUCUGGUUCCUUAUCCUUUAGUGGUAUGUGAGUCCAAUUUGAGAUAAAGUUAUACAUGGUUUGCCUAGAAUAAGUUAGAAUCGAAAUUAUUUUCUUUGAAGUAUUAAGUGUCAUUUUGUCUUUCCAUUUCAAGAUUAGAUAUAAGUAGGAGGACUCGAAUAUGAUACCUCUCACUUAUACUCCACCACCCAACCCAUCCGCCCCCUCCCCCAAGAUUAUAAGGAUAGGAUGGAAAUAUCUGUACAACUAAUUUGAUGUUAAAAUAUGUCCAAAUUCCUAAAUAAAUUCACAAAAUUAACAAAAUCUGCCUUAGGUUAGCUGUAUCUUAGAAAUACUCCAUUCGUUUUAGUAGGUUUAAUUAACCUUCGAUUGAAAAGUGGAACAUAAACAAAAGGUGGGAGGAUUAUUUGUAAUCUAAAAGGAUUGGUUAUGUAAGUUUUUCUUUUGCGUUUAAUUCAGAAAUCCAUUGACUAACAAUCAGAGAAAUUCAAGUACAUUUUUGUAUUUUUAUUCUUCUUUAUUUAUUCAUCUGUAUAAUAUAUACUUAAGUAUUUUGUGCUGCCUCUUUUUUUGUUGUUUUCCUUACUUCAUUUUUCAAAAAUGCAAAUCAUUCUUGUUAAAACACUUCUGUUAAAAGAACUAGAAAUGCAAGGACUAGUUUGUGUUUUAAUUUUUCUCUGAGAGAUUUUUGUUAUUAUUCUUUGGUUUCAAAAAAUUUUUCCAAAAAAGUGAAUGUUGGGUGACAAAUUUUUCUAAAGUCUCAUUUGGCUGGUGUUUGGUAAUUCCAUUAAGUACUUAAAAAUGAUGUAUUAAGUGCGUGUACUACAAAAAAAUACUCUCUCUCAUUCUUUCUCUCCCAUCACACACAUAUACUUUCUCUCUCUCUCUUUGUCACAUACGCGCUCUUAUACCCUCACACACUUUCACACAUAUACAUCUCUCUCUCUCUCUCACACCUACACACACACACACUCUCUCUCUCUCUCUCUCAGAUGCACACAUAUUCUCUCUCCCUCUCCUACACGUAUUUUCUUGUAUAACAUGCACUUUUAAACAUAAUCUCUCCAUCAAACACACAAAAUAUAUAUUUUACUUCUCUUGAAGAUAGACAAUUUCACACUAAAUUUUGCAAAUUGUUUCUCAUAUGCACAUACAAAAAACAUACUUUUCCUAUUAGCAUGCAGAUUAUUAGUAUAAAAAAUUGAUAUUUAAAAAGUUAAUAUAGUACAAAAGUAAAACGUAAUAUUACUAUUCAACUAUAUAAUUUAAAACAAAAUAAAAUAUUUUAAUUUAGUGCUCGAAUUUAGCUGGUUAUCAAACAUAUUUCACUUUAUGAAAUUUAGUAAAUUUAGGUUUCAAUUAAGUUUUAGUUUUCAGGUUUUAGUUUUUAAUUUUAUCAAACGUCCCCUUUGUCUACCAUACAACUUUUUACUACCAAAUGACAAAGCUGCCCCUGCAGAGUGUGCAGCUCACAUGCAAUGAAUUUCGUCUAUUUUAAUCGAGCAAAUGGAUAGAAUAGCCCAAUUUGAUCCUUUUUAGCUGUUCAAUGCAUCAUUGACGUGAAAAAAUAGUAUAGUGGAUUAAAUAAGACUUUGAAAAUUUUGUCGACCUGUGGCAUAAUUUACCUUGUUUGAAAUAUACAAAUUCUUAUAGAAUAGGGAAUGGAGAUGCAGCAAUAGUUAUGUAAUUUUGAUAUAUCCAAAACUAUAACACUAACAUAAAGUUUUGAACUGCAGAAUUGAAGCUGGAGAACUUGAAGGGACUCAAUCUUGGAUAUACAAAAUUUAACAAACUCUCCGACAUUGAGGCUUUAACUUCUCUCAAAGCCUUAUCUUUGAACGGUAUUGGUAUUAAUGAUUCCUCCGUCGUUCAAGGUAAUAAGAUAGGCUGUGAAAGGCUCGGUUGCUUGCAUGAAGUUGCUAUUUACUUUUCAAAUGUUGAGCUAGAACGGAUGAAAUUUGGAAACCAACAUUUCAAUUUUUUUGCGUGUAACAUAUGAUUUCAUGGUUUCUGAAUUGGCUAUAUAUUGACAAGUCAUACCUAGCAUCGACUAUUACUGUAUCAAAAGCUUACAAUGAACUUGUUUUUUGGACAGGAAUUUGCAGUUUGAAGAAUCUCGAUGAACUUCAGCUGAGUGACAAUAAAUUUUACGGGCCUGUUCCUAUGUGCUUCAGAAACUUGACGUCUCUUCGAGUUCUUGAUCUCUCCAAAAAUAUUCUCAGCGGAAACAUCCCUGCAGCUCUCAUUACUCCUCUCGUACACCUUGAAUAUCUAUCUCUCUCUGGCAACCUUUUUGGAGGUUCUUUUUCUUUCAAUUCUUUGGGCAACCAUUCAAAGCUUCAGGGGUUCGAACUUGGACCUUUAAACAAUGAUUCACAUGUUGACACUGAGGAUCUUGCUCUGCCCCCACCAUUUCAGCUAAAGGAUCUCUAUUUAUCUGGCUGCAACUUGAAUAAUCAGACUCGAACAAUCCCAAGUUUCCUGCUCUAUCAGAAAGAAAUGCAAAUUCUUGAUCUUUCUUCCAAUAAGUUAGUCGGCCAGAUUCCUACUUGGCUUCUGCAGAAUAAUACAAACUUUGAAGUUCUUGUUCUAAAGGAUAACUCUUUUACGGGUCCGUUUCUUGUAGAUGAUUCUCGGGAAAUAAAGCUAAGUCGAUUAGACAUCUCAAACAAUGACGUCAGUGGUAAGAUUCCUCAAAAUAUUGGUUUAUCUUUUCCAUUACUGGAGUGGAUGAAUUUGUCAGGAAAUUCAUUGGAAGCCAAUUCCCCAGUCAUUGGGAAACUUGACAAUGGCAGAAACAAUUGAUUUGUCCCACAACAUGUUUUCAGGGGAGGUGCCAAGUCAAAUUGGAACUGGAUGUUUACGUCUUAGAAUAUUGGUAUUGUCUUAUAAUAAUUUGCAUGGCAAUUUUCCUUCUGGGUCCACGAACUUAACAAGCCUAGAAUUCCUUCACUUGGAUAAUAACCAUUUUAUUGGGAGCAUUUCACAUGGAUUAUCUCGUUCUCCCAGUUUAUAUUGGCUGGAUAUUUCAAACAAUUCUUUUCAAGGCAAAAUUCCAAGUUGGAUUGGAAAAUUUUCACAUUUGAAGGGUCUUGACAUGUCAGCCAACUUGCUAGAAGGUAGCUUACCAGAAGCUAUAUGCAAACUUUCAUAUCUUGCAUUUUUAGACCUCUCCAAAAAUCAGUUGAUCGGACCUUUACCAGCCUGCUCCGAGCUUACGUCAUUGAAGUUCAUCCACCUGCAUCACAACAUGAUCUCAGGGCCCAUCUCAAACAUGCUGUCUGGGAGCUUCAAUUUGAUGACACUCGAUUUGGGUUACAACAAGCUGUCUGGCGGUAUACCACGCUAUAUUGGUAAACUUAAAGAGCUCAGGGUUCUUCUAUUGGGGGGAAAUGAAUUGCUUGGUCAUAUUCCUUUGCACUUAUGUCAGCUGCAGAAUGUGACAAUUAUGGAUCUUUCUCAGAAUAAGUUUUCUGGGCCAUUGCCUACAUGCUUCAACAACAUUUCUUUUGGCAGAGGGCAGUUCUCCACAGAUGCACUUUUUGCCUAUGCCGAGCUUUUGGGUAUUGAAUUCGUCAUAAACCUUCCUUUUUUGGCCAUCGAGAUAACCUCGAGUGAGGAUUCUAUAACUUUUUCCCAGCAAGAAAAAGUGAUAUUCACAACAAAAAGUAGAAGCGAACACUAUGCAGGGAAUAUAUUGAAUUACAUGUCUGGACUUGAUCUGUCAUGUAACCAAUUGAUUGGAGCGAUUCCUCCUGAAUUUGGUGAUCUCAUACAUAUCCGGGCAUUAAAGUUAUCCCACAACUACUUGCAAGGAUCUAUUCCCUCAAGACUUUCCAUGUUGAACCAAAUAGAGAGCUUGGAUCUUUCUUACAACAAUUUCAGUGGUGAAAUACCUUCAAAGCUGGCAUCAUUGAACUUCAUGUCGAAGUUCAAUGUGUCAUUCAAUAACUUGUCUGGCAGGGUACCUGAUACAGGGGAGUUUGCAACCUUUGACGACAGCAAUUAUAGAGGAAAUCCAGGUCUCUGUGGACCAUUGCUCAAGAGAAGUUGUAACCCCUUUGCUCCACACCCUGAAAAUGUUGGUGAUCAAGACAUCGAAGUUGAUGGUGCAAUUGACGUGGCAGCAUUUGCUUGGAGCUUUUUUGCUUCAUAUAUGGUGAUGGUGAUUUCAUUUGUGGUAAUUCUGUGUUAGCCCUUAUUAUAGAAGAGCAUGGUCUUUUUAUAUUGAUUAUUGGAUCCUAUCUAGAUUCUACGAGUAUUACAGGUCUCAUUCCUUUGAGAAAAAGCAAACAUGGAAAGUGUUCAAUUGGAACAUGAGAAGGAGAUGAAUUGGUCUAGUUACUCUAUUGGGGUUCUCGAAUUCGGAAAAAGGUCCAAUGUAUUUGCAAGAUUGAAAGAGGAACUAUAUGAAGUGAAAUUCUGAUGUCCAAUAUAUUUUGCACUAGAGUUUUUUUUUCUCAUAUUUGCAGUUUAAUUUUCUUUAUUUGCACAAUUACUAUUUCUUUUCUGAAUAGCCAUAAUUUUUUUGCCUAAUUAAUGCAUGAAGAUGAAGAUUAGAGCGGCUUUGGAUAAUUUUUAAUUGGUCAAAAGCAAAUGAAUGAUCAAGUUGCGAUUUUGCAAUACAAAUAGCCAAAUUGUACAGCCGCUCAACUUUUUGUUUUCCUUUUUCUAGGAGCGUAGGGAGAGGAGAGGAGAGGGGGAUUAAAACUCAAAACCUUUAUAUUUUGGAAUUUCAACCUUGGUCACUAGAUGAUUAAUAAAAAUGUGGCACAGCAAGGAAAUAAAUUUUUAUUUCUUGAUUUAUUAGUUUAAUUAACUUGUAAAAUUUGGAAAUAUUUCACUAAUUAUUUUUUUUACACAAAAAAAAAUCGUAUCAAUAUGAAAAUUAGAGCAGUUCAAACUAUUUCUAACUUGAUAAAAUGGGUUAACUCAAAUCAAAUCUGCGUCCACCCCUAGUUCUUACUAUGUAGUAGAUACUCCGUGUAACAGAAAAGACAAAACGGGAAAGAAGAAUGGCGUGGAUGAGCACAAAAUUCUGAUUUUGAAUAUCCUUCAGUCAUUGGUGGUUGGACCCAAGUCAACGUCCCAACCAGACCCCAGCAACGUUCAAUCACUUUGAUUGAUUUUGCAUAUAUAUAUAUAUAUAUAUAUAUAUACUUUAAUAUGAAUUAACUUUUUAUAUACAGACAGUGUAGUGAUAUUUUUACAUUAGCAAUUUUGGAUAAAUAUCACAUGUGCAUGAUUUGAAUUUUAAUUUUAAAUUCAUGUUAUGUGACAUGAUCUAAAUUUAUUAGUAUAAAAAAAUAUUAUACAUAGACAAUGCAUAGAAAAAUUAUCCCUAUAAUAUAGUGGGUUGACAUCACAAGCGUUGGUGCAGUUAUGGGCAAUUGCGAGAGAGAUUAGUUAGUCAAGUAAGACUUAUUCAACCAUUAAACUUUACUAUAAUUCUAUACACGUGGGAGUGCCCGCGCAUCGUACGGGUGUUUGAUGCCUAUCGUUAGAGAGGAUUUUCAUUAGACAAAUAAUAGUACAUUCUCGAAAGAAAUAGUCAUCAAAUAUGAUCAAACUAAUAAUAGUACAUUCUAAUUGCAGCACACACUUGUAUAUUUUGUUUUAUCAAUACUUUUACAAUUUUAUCAUUCCCAAAAGACCCCUACAAACGUCAGUUGAAAAUCGCCCAAGAGCAGACAUAAAUUGUUUCAGACAAAGAAAUAUCCUUUAACGGCUAGUUAUAGCAACGUGUUAAUUGCACAAUGUGUUAAUAUGUCUUUAUAUUAAUUACACAACAAAAACCACACUUCAAUUAAAUAUAUCUAAAACACCAUUUCAGUAAUUAUACCAACACAUAAGCUUAUAUGAGUUGUACUCCAUGCAAAAAUGUUUGCAAAAUAAUUUCAUAUUUCAGAAAUAUCCAAAUGUCUCCAUAAAUCAAAAUUUUAAAUGUACCAAAGUGAGGGCAUUUUAGUAAAUAUACCUAAACACAUGCCGCCCUCAGUUGUACCAAAAGUUUGAAAAAAAAAACUUUACAACAUUCAACAUUUUCAAAGAGCCCCCUCUCAUCAUAACUCAUUCUUAUAUAGUAUAAGAAUAUAAGUCCAUGACUAUGACUACUAUAAAAACACAUGAUUAUGUGUUUUAUCAUAAGUGAUGGGCUAUUCUCUGUGUGCCGUAUCUCUUCUAAGUCUGGUAGUCCGUGAGAAAGAAAUGGAUAUUUAAAAAUCACCCCACCAUUUUACGUCUAUUAAUUUUUCAAAUGAAGAAAAUUGUUAAAGUAGUUUCUCACAUCUCGUCCUUUUUCAAUCUCACACCUUGAAAAGGAUACAAUUUAUACCCUCAUAUUCUUUCAAGUCCCAAAACCCAUCUCAGGUCGCGUUUUGGUUUUGUGUACCCAUGCUAAUUUAGGGCUCAAAAUGGCAUCACAGCUCAGUUGGUGCCCAAAAGAAAUAGCAGAAAAUUCUAGUAACAUGUCCACUAGAAAUUGUACAAGCAAAACUCUUAAUGAAAACCAGAAAGAAGCAAAAUCACAUUGGUUAAGUUGAUAGAUGAAUAUAAUCAAUCAAAUACUGCUAUGACCACCUCAUUCAGCACCGAAGUCGCCUCGGUUAAACACUCAAUCUUUCUUUGCUGCCUCUUGACCAUACCUUUUUUUUUUCUAGAAUUAUAAUGAAAUUUAACCCAUAAUAUAGCCUGACGAAAAUGAAGCACCCGAAUCUUGAAAUAAUUUUUUUUAAUUUGACUUACUAAUAUGCUUCCCAUAAAUUGCCCUGAAGAAAAUCAUUAUUUCUAGUCUUGAAACUAACACAUUAAGUCCAUGAGUUUGAGCUUUUAAGUUAGACUGUUGAUGUAUUAAGAAAUUUUGUUUCGACAAGUUGGACACAUUCCAUUUUUUGAUAAAAGUUUUUCUUCCAAACUAAGCCUGAUAUUGGCAGUGGCUUAGCUCAGCUCAAGCUUUGAGCAACUUGAUAAAAGGCUCGAAUUGGGCCAAAGUUAUUUCACUUGAACUCAAUAAAAAAGUAUACACUCUUGUACUCUCGUUAAUCAUUAUGGCCACCUGCUAAUAAAUUCAUUUUCAGAAAAGAUUACAUUUAUAUACUCGAGAUCAAUUAGAGAACAUGAGUCGAACCAUAGGUGCUCAAUUGAUUUUCAGUUUAAGUUCGAGCCAAAAAUUUAAGUCGAGGUUGACUUGAUUAUGGGUGCGUUUGCUAAUAGUGAAGUUUGAAAUUUGAAAUCUGAAUCAAUUAACUUAUUGAAUUGUUAAGUAUUGAAUUUAAUACAUUUAAGUGUAUAUCACAUUCAGUGAUAAAUGACUGACUCACUACUUAAUUUUGGGAACAAAUUUUAUCUAGAAUAGCAAGUAAAGAUAAUUGAAAUAGAGACUGUAAACCAUUUUUUUACCUUUACAUUUUUGUUGUGAAUUAUAACUCAAGGAUAUUCUGGAAAUUUUGAAAAAAAAUAUAGCCUUUUGAGUCUAGAACGUUACUUAAAUAGGGGAGGUAGGUAAAAUUUUUAGAACUUGAGGGGAUCUUUCUGCAAUUGUCAAAAGCCUCAGGAGAGGUAUGUGAAAUUAACCCAUUCCACAAUUUUGGUCCCAAAGCCCAUUCCAACCCAAAUGUAUUUCUAGGUUUUCACUUUCUGCGUAGUUCUGAUGUCUUUUUCCUUUUUAUUUUUUUUUUACAUCUCAUGUGUUGAAAAAUAAUAUUUUAAUUUGACUCCUCAGGUUACUAAAUUCAGUUGUUGAAAAUUUUUCUUCCAAUAAAUUGCGGUGAAGAAGCUGGAUAUCAGUCAUAUCACUGGUCUCGAAACAUGUGCUCUAAUUUUAGCUAUGAAAGCUACUCAGUUUUGAGCCAUUAAUUAAAUAAGGCUCAUUAACUUAAGAGAUGCUUCUGAGUUGGUAGAAAAUGCUUAAUUUUUUUUUUCUGGGGUGCAAAGGAAGAAAAUAAUUUCAAAGAAAGAGUAUUUUGCCAAAAUAAUCUUCCUAUCGAAAAAUAAUUCCAAAAUUAUUCACUUGCAAAUAUUGUUUCAAGAUAAAUCAUGUUUGAUUUCUCUUUUCUUACUCAUUAUUCUUAUUUUUUUCUUCUCUAUUACUCUGCUUUCAUUUUCUUUUAUCCUUCCCCAAUUGCUCAGAGAAGCAUAAUAUGAUACUUAACCAACAAAAAACUUCAAAAUCUAUCCUUAUUCAUUGGUUAUUUUUUUAGUAGUUCAGAGGCUAGUACUUGUACAUGCAACCUCAAAGGUUAAUAAAUGCUAUUCUCUCUUUUUUUUUAAUGUUAUAGUGAUUACAAAUUUCUUAUGGCAUUUGGAGUAUUUUGAAAGUAAUUGUUCACAUAUAAUUUCACAACAAUGUGCAUGAUGAAAGGUCGAUGAGAAAAAUGAUUCUCUUGGCCAUUUACCGGUUAUGAUAUUUAAACAUUUAUAUGGUAUUGAAUUUUGCAUAAAACAUGCAUACAUGAAUCCGUUGAUCAAUUUGCUAAAUUUAGUAUGUUUACAUUCUAAUUGUUUAAGAUGAUCAUACUAUUAGUUUGUGCUUUUUACCUAUUCAAUGUAUUGAUUUCCUUCGUUUUUUUUCAUUGGAAUUCUUGUAAUAUUUCCAAUUAUUUAAUCACACUUUCUUUUUUCAAGUUUUUUUGUGCCUUCAUUGCUUAAAGUCUCUAAGUGUAUAAAACGUCCAACAUAAAAUUUAAUUGCUUUUUAAAAAUCCUUGGAGAUUCAUAACUUCAUGGUCGAUAGUGUCAAAUUAUUCAUUUAUACACAAUGAGUAAUCCACGAAGUCACAAUUGCAUGUCUUCAAAAUAAAAAGGUUUCAAAGCAUGAAAUCAUCUUCAAUGGAAAGUCACCCACCAUUUUUUUUUGGCAAAAAGCUAUCGGAACAAAUUGGGUGAUUUCCAUAAUGGAAUGAAUCAUUAGUUUCCCGACUUAAUAAACUGGCCCAAUGCUUGACUCGAGCUCAAGCAACAAAAUUAAAUACUUGAUGGUAUUGGUUGGUCUGGAAAGGAAUGUAACAUUUGUUCAUGGACUGGAAAGGAAAACCUACUCUUUCAGACUUCAAAGCUUCCUUAAAAGACGCUAAAUGCUCAUCUUCGCCAUCCUUCAUGGACUGGAGAGAAAGGUGGUGGAGCAAACAGUGGCUGUUGCGCAUGGGAACGGGUGAGUGUAGUGAUAUUACAGGGAGAGUUCAGAGUUGUUGAGCUCCAACUUUAAUCUGAUACUUAAUUGUGAUCGAGUCCAGACUCGUCAGAGCUGGUAUUUUGAUAUCAGUAAGCCUUUUAUACACUGGUAGUAUAUAUACCAUUACGAUUGAAUGUAUGACACUUGCAUAAAAUUUAGAUUUUAAAUUUAAAUUUUGGACAGGUGUCAUGUAUUUAACGAUGAUAGUGUAUACACUGACGUUGUGUAUAAGAUUAAUUCUUUUAACAUUAACAGUUUUUCAACACUGAAGGACCUGCGAGUCUCGACUUGAGUGAGAGUAGCUUCCAAAUUACGCAAAGUGUAAGGUAAAAUGCAUGCGCUAUCAUCUUUCUUCAAUUCAUUUGUUUCCUUGCAAUUUGCGUUCCAAACUUCAUUCUUAGCUCUCUCUCUCUCCUUCUAGUGGAGGUUCUUUUAAUUUUCUUACUUCUUCUUCCAUCUACAGCUUGAAUGUAGAGAUCCUUAGAUCUACUCCUCUUGCAUGACUGUUUUACUGGAAUCUAGAUCCAACCAUCAACUUAUUUUCACUUUGAUGGUCUUAUUGACUAAACUCUUGAUGAAUAUCUUAGAAGAUGAUAAACUAAUCGUUUCCUUAAACAGCACCAAACUGUUAAUGCAAAAAUAUGGCUCAACUAUCAAGACUGUGUAGUCACUGGUGAAACGUCCAGUGUGACCCGUAAAAGAUGGACUGGGCUUUAUCUCCUGGAAAGCUACGAAGCUUAAUUUGGUCGUUAUCUCGAGGCCUUAAUGGGCCUUGAGGUUUUGCUGAAACGGAGCUGUAUUUCUCUUGGGCUCUAAUCUUGGUUUCUAAUGAGAGCCAAUAAGAAUUUAUUUUGGGUCAAGAUAUUACAUUGGACUGGAGUUUUAGCUUCUACAGGUAAGUCAAUGAGUGAAUAUUUUUUUUAAUAUAAGAAGAUUUGAAAUUAGGAAAGCAAACGAGUUGAGUUGAAUCGAACUUUGAUCUAAUUGAACCAAGUCAAGUUUCAAUUUAAUUUUAUUAAACUCGAGCUUGACGAGCUCUCAAUUUAAAAUUUGAGUUCGAACUCGACUCAAAUUUGAGUUUAGUCGAACUUAAAUUUGAUCUUAAAAAAAAUAAAAAUAAUUAUUUUAUUUUAAAAUAAAUGAAUAAAAUAAUAAAUUUUCUUCACAAAUAGUAAAUAUUAGGGAAAUUUAUAUAAUUUUACUAUUCAAAUAAAUAUCAAUAUAUGAAAUUGAACAGACUCGUAAACUAACAAACUAAAUAUUUUUGAGUUCCAAUUCGACUUAAUCAGUUCGAACUCAACUCGAACUCAAUGCUAAUCAAAUUCAAAUCGAGUUUUGACUCGUCCAACUGCUUGUGAUUAGCUCGACUCGUGUGCAGUCUUAUGCAUGUUUGCACAACAUAUCCAUCAAUCCACUCUGACGAAGAUUUCAUUACAUAUAGCUAUGAAAAACAGUUGUCUCGAAGAAGCCAUUUCACUGUUGCUUUAAAACAUCAAUUGAUAAGAAAACUUGCACAACCUAAUUGAAAAACCAGCCACAAUGGUUGUUCCAGUCUUGAGAAAAGAAGGCGCUUUUUAACCCUUUUUCACCAGCAUCUCAUUCCUUCUACACAAAUCGAAACUGAAUCCAAUGGUCUUGGAGAAUCCCAAAUUGUCUUUGAGCAAGAAUAUCCCAAAUAUAAACUGAGACAUUGGAAUUUUCAUAUUAUGGUGUAUUAAACAACUAAUAAUUUUUGUUAUAAGUACAUCCCAACGAAUUAAAGUAUUUCCAAAAAGGAUGAAAUUCCAAACUAUAAUAGAGCUAUCAGAAAAAAGGUUAUUCACUGUUAAUACAUCUUAUCUUCAAAAAAAAAAAAAAUCUGCCUAAGUUUUCGAAUUAAUGAUUGUGUACACCUUGGAUAUUUUUAUAUGAAUAUACUUCAACACGAUACAACAAGAAUUGAAGUUUAUAUAAGUAGCAGUGUAACUUCUCUUGUGUAUGUCUGCAGAAGCGAUUAAAGUGUUGUAAAGGAUCACUACUUCCUAUAACCAAAAUUACUAAUGUAAAAACAAGAGGCCGACCACAAAGUUAUGCAACCCAUAUGAUAAGAUGGAUUGCUGGUUUUUCUUGAUCUCUUGCUUUAUGUAGUAGAACAAUUGCCUUGACUGGGAAGUUCUUGGGGUUUUGAAUGGCUGCGAGGGAAGAAAAUUUCUGUCGAUACAGUGCUGGAUUCUCGCAUAAUAAAUAUUAUGCUAUUGGCAAAAUACGAAAAAGUGUCCUCAAUUUGACUCAAAUUUUUCUUUUUUUUUUAAUUUUUUUAUAAUAGGAAAAGGGUGAUAUUUAAGAAGCAAAUAGGGGGGAAGCGGGAAUGAGGGAUAAUUUAAUCUUGUUGCCAAAUGGUAAUGGCGAUCAUACAUAAUAAUGCAAGCAGUGAGAUUACAAGGUAGAGAACUUGUUCAAUCUGUGUCGAAAUCAGUAAUUUUAUAUCAACAAAUUACCUUUUAUUUUCUUUUUGGUUUUCAUUGUGGUGUAUACGUUUCUUUUUUUUUUUUCCCUGAGUUAUUGCUUCUAGAUCUCUCAUCUCCAAAAUCAGUUUGAAGUUCAAUUCUAGGGUUUUGCUUCAGUGAGGCAUUGUGUUCGUUGGCUCACAAUCGACGCGUCAAUUGAAGAUACAUCAAAACUCAAUAUUCAUUCCGACCAUUUCCGAUUAAAACAUUCAAUUCUCACGUUGUUGUAGUUGUUCAAUACUCGGAUUGUUACGAUUACUACUUGCGUAUGUUUGUUUGGUUUAUUUCCCUUGAAUUUCAUGAGUAAGAACUCAGGAGAAUACCAAAGAUCAACUUUCUUUAUAAAAGAAGAGGAAGCUAAAGAUCAAGAAUGAAUUACACCAAAAAUGAAUGAAUCUAAUGAUCACUUACCAUCUCCUCUCAAUUAUAGAGGUCGCUGAUCGAUCUUCACUGGCAGAACACCGAGCAGCAAUUAAAUAGAAGAACUUGGUUGUAGAGUGCAGAACGAAAACAGAAAAUAAUCACAAAAAAAACCAGAAAAAAGUUGCAUAUGUUUGUAAUCAGUAAUCACCAGGGAAGCUUAAUUUCUUCGCAGCAGCAAACUACUAUUUCUGCAUUCUACAAAAGAUAUAAUAGGAAUAAAAAGAAAAAAUGAAAAAAAAAAUGUAAAGGUAGUCAAACAAAAAAUGGCCAAAAACUGAGAGGAAGAUGAGAUAAUGACAAGGUUAAUUAAGAGGAAAGCUUUGUUUAGUCAAUACUAGGAAUAUUUAAUAUUUGGGUAAAUUAUAUUUUACCCCCCUGUAGUUUACCCUUUUUUUACAUAACCCCCAUAUGGUUUCAAAAGCUAUACAUAACCCCCUCAUGGUUUGGAUUAAAGUGUCAAAGUAACGGAAAUAGUCACUCGUCACGGAACUUCUAAAAAUGUCGAAAUUACCCUUAUAAAUACAUGACACAUUAACCCCCUAUGAUUUUUAUAUUUUACCAUAUAACCCCCUUAUGGUUUAAUACUUUACCAUAUAACCCCCUUAUGAUUUUCAAAAUAUACACAUAACCCCCCUUGGUUAAUACAUAAAUUUCAACCUUACAUAAGGGUAUUUUUGACAUUUUAGGUGACGCCGUUACGAGUGACUAUUUCCGUUACUUUGACACUUUAAUCCAAACCAUAAGGGGGUUAUGUAUAGCUUUUGAAACUAUAGGGGGGUUAUGUGAAAAAAUGCUAAAUCACAGGGGGGUAAAGUGGAAUUUGCCCUUAAUAUUUUUACAGCACACAGCAUUAUUAGUGUCAUCAUAGGAGGCAUAAAAGCCACGGAAGCAAAACUUACAGCAAAUUUAUUCUUUUAUGUAUCACAGAAUAAUAGCAAACUCUUGAAUAUAUGGUACUAGUUUAGUUUGGAGAACCAGGAGCUGCUUGCUUAUUAUUCUUCAAGAUUGGUUCUCCAAAGCUAACGUGAUCUGGGUUCAAGAUAAUUGCUGAAUUUAAUCGGUGCAGCAACGGUACAUGAAGAAACUCUCCAUGGGACGGCCGCAUUCAGCACAAGACACCUUCUCAGGAAUGUGCCCACUACUUUCGGGCAAUAUCAGGCGGUUGCAGUGAUGAGGUGUAUGGAGCUCACGAAGUUUCUCGUCCAGAGCAAUCACAAAGCCGUCGGGGUAAACAACUUUGUCCUUCCACUCGUUAAACUUGCUCAGGCACUGGUAAACUUCUUUGUCUAUUCCUUUAGCCAUCUCAUGCCAGCCUCUGGCAAUGAGAGCCCAUCCCUCGCCAUCUUUGUCAUAGCAAAUUAUUUUCCCAACAUGCUGUAUUAAAUCACUCUUCACGAACAUGCCGUGUUGACCCCAGGACUUAAGCAUGAUCUCCAGCCUCAUCCAGAAAAUUUGGAUCUUAAUCAGGUCAGGCAAAAUGUGGCUUAGGUUUUCAGCCUGGAUGAUGGAAUUGUUUUUCCUCACGCUUUCCUUCGGGUUUUUUCCCCCCACAUAGAGCAUCUCCAGAGGGAUACGUGCAGUAUUUGCAACAGACCGCAUAAUAGUUGUUAAUCUCCUGAUCCCUUCAAUGUCCGCUCCACCAUACAAGCAUAUGUAUCUGUUUUGAUCAGCCUGUGUAACAUGAAAUAUGUUCAAUACUAUUAUAUAUACUUGGUACAAAGAAGCAAUGUAAAACCACUCGGCAGAAUUUCAAGUUUGGCUUAUUUUACUAUUUCUUGACCCAAAUUAGCGAGUUUAUUGGUUUCCGAGAUGAGAAAGAUGUCAAUACCCAAAGUAAGAGGUUUUGAUGAAUGGAGUCGGCUAACAAUUCUAUCAAGGUUGCUUCCAUCCAUAGUUCUUUUUCUCUUUCUUCAGUGAAAGGGAAAGCUAAAUUACCCCAAACCCACAUCAUGUCCCGAGCAUUGUAACCUGAUAAGUUUCCCCGUGGAUGCAAGGCCAGAAGUUGAGGUGUCUUGUCAAAGCUCUUGACGUCCUUGAUGAAUCUGAUGAAAGCACGCUCAAGCAUGAUAGGGUGAACCGAGUACCAUGGCAUUGAGUUUUGGACAAGCUCAAACUGCUCAUCAGUUGCAUUUGAGAAUGUAUCAACAACUGGAAGCCAAACAACCUUGUACUGUUUAUCUAGCCUAGUUGGCUGUUGCCUUGAUUCGGUGUAAAACUGAUGGAGGAUAGAGAGCUCUUCUUGGGGUAUGUGAAGUUCUGAAAUAAGUAGCAAAACAUGUUUCUGUCUCAAUAUGUCAAGGCUAGCCUGUCAUCAUCCAAAAGAUAGAAAGGCGUCACAUACAUGAUACUAUGAUAGACAACAUGCAAAAGCAGGGAAGAUGAGUUCUGGUGAAGAGCAGUGACAAACUCUUUUAUUGUUAGUUCCAUCAUACAGGGGCAGCUGGUCCUCCUUAACAUUUAUCACAGCACUAAGAAUCUUCGUGCUGUCAGUGUUGGGCAUCUUAAACAGUUCAACAAGUGCAUUAUAUGCAUCAUUCUGUCUCCUUUUCUCUGCAACAUGGGAAGACUUUGUUUCAUUAAAUGCAGAAGUAGUUUACACAAUUCUGAUUUACCUAUUUUAUGAUAGUAUGUGUACCACAUAGUAUUCUGAACAGUUCAAUAUGCAGGUAAUUUACCUAUUUCCUUCUUUAUAAUAGCCGUUUGAUCUUCCAGGCCCUCUUUAAUUUUGGCAAGCUUAUGAGCCAAACUAUUCAAGUCCCACGCCUCUGCAGCUGAGUCGACAUACCUGUUAAAAACAAAAACUUACAAGUAAGCAAUCAGAAUAAUAAGUUUGCAAAUGUUGGUCUAACUGCUUUGUCAUACCUUCAUUACAUUAAUGAAAAUUACAAAUAGCCAGGCAAACAUAAUUUUCUAGUGGAGUACUGCUAAAAACAUUGUAAGAAAUAGUGCAGAAGGUAUCUCCUUGUUGUACAUGCCAGCACGUUCAGCUACUAGGACAUUUUCUAUCAACAGACCAAAUAGUCAGAGAAACCAAGAAUAUAGCUUGGCCAGAAGGGAAAACUGGAAACAUACUCGGGUCCAAGGGCAGUAAGGUUCAAUAUAAAUGAACAAGUAGCAAUGCUACGAAGAGUCCAGUAAACUGCUGUGGGGACAUGAGCAGUAAGAAACACCACUUCAUUUGAUUGACCAAUGUACUCUGUGGGGAGCUCCUUGAGGUUAAUAAUACAAGAAGUCACAUUCAGCAUUGCCUUACUGAGGUUACUAACUGCCUCAAACUUUCGCUUCAAGGCUUCAGUGUGCUCGAUUAUUUCUGGGAGUUCCCUAAUUACUGCAACUGACUUGGCCAGUGGAUUCGUAGUGAGAAGCUGAGCAACCAGCCAGAACUUACCAUAACUCACAGCAAAAGCUGCAAGAGCUAUUGCCACCUUGUCCUCCCACGCAUAUCUUGAUAGUGACCGGCAGAGUGCCAUAGCAACAAAAUGUUCAUCUCCUCCCGAACUGCAGUUGCAGAUUAUCUGCCAUACAUUACGUUUACAACAUUGAGUAACAAUGUCAGUAAAGUACAAAUGCACAAUAUAUUUUUUUAGUCUGAGAUCUGUCUAUGCAAUGUCCUCUUUUUGUGUGCGCGCGUGUUAGUGCAAUUUCAUUUUCUAUUUCGAACAUGGUUGAAUUCGUUGAAAUUGUGUCUAGUGCUUCGUGAAGUCCCAUGUCCGCUGGAGCUCUGAUAUGUACAUAAACAGAACGCAUACCUCAUUAAUUGUUUUGUUGAUAGCAUAUGUUAAUUCUUUCAUGUCAAUGGAACCUCUGCGAAUAGCCGUAUCCUCCCAUGUAUCAGCAUAAUCUUGAUCUUGUGCCCCCUAAAAUGCACAACAGAGAUACAAUUUAAUGUCAGAACAGGUGACAGACUGAAUAAUACAUUCAUGGACAAGGACAUAUAUAUACACUCCAUUAUGUACAUAUCGUGAAACGAGGACAAUAAAUAAGUAACAAUAACAUACACCGCCAAGAAAUGUAGCACGUUUUAUGAUAUCCUCAACGAUGGGGACGAGAGGUGUUACAUCAAAAUCACGGCCAUCUGGUUCAUGUGUUCCUAGAACUUCCUUCAUCCUGUCCAUCUCCAUUGCUUUAUUGGUUGCUUGAGACGGUGGAUGGCCCCUGGUGAUGGGUACAAUUUCAUUCGUUGAGCGGGGCACAGCUCUUUCAACUGCUGAAUUGUGUGCAGUUGCUGUUGUGGCUGAAUGGGCUGCAAUUGGUGGCCCCUUGUAGUUGGCAAAGUUUUACUAGCUAUUGCGGGAAGCGGCUGAGGUCUUUGAUGAGAGAUGUGGUGGCGUAAAGAAUGGCUUGGGGGCCUUAUUUAUCAUGUUCUCACGGAAUAAAGGUGGAAUGGCUCAACCCAAAAAUUAAAAUAAAAUGAAAGGAAUAAAGGUUGAAUGCAUCAUGUUCCUUGCUUUGAAUAUGGUUUUAUCCAGUGAAGUUUGUGAGAGGUUGGAAAUUUCAAGUGAUCUGCAGGUAAGCUUGUUAGGCUUGCACAUCUCACUAAAGUGAGAGGGAGCCAAAACUUUUGGUUAGGGGGGAAGAGAAAUCAAGUGCAUAGCAAUAUUAAAAAAAAUGAAGUAGAGAAAGUAUGAUAAAUUUAAAUUAUAAAUUCAAAAUAUUAUAACUAGCAUUCUAAUGCUUUAGACAAAAUCUUCAAAAGUCAUAAACAAUUUUCUUUUUUGUUCAAAAUUAAUCUUAGAAUCCUGGCAAAUUAUGUUUGAUUCAAUAAUGAAGUAAGAUAACAUAGUGAAAAAUCAAAAAUACAAAUCCCGUCAAAGUUAAAUGUUAAGAAAAAUAAUCAAUUAGAAAAUGAUUGUUUAAAUGUUAAAACCUAAAAAUUAAUAAUAUAAUAGAAGAAUUUCUAAACAAAAGUUAGUUUAAUUUUAGAACUUGUAUUGGAGGGAAUAGAGUCUAGAGUUCCUCAGUUGAAAACAAGGACCUCCAAUACAAUAACAUUUCAAUUGUAUUUUUUAGAAUGACAACUUGACUUUUUUCUGUUGAAUAUAUUUUCCUUUUGUAAUCUACUUAUAUUUCAAGUGAUAUUUUAAUUUAAAGUUAGGAGAUUAAAGAUUCAUAAUUAAAUUGGCAUCUUAUCUUAGUUGUGCAAGUAGAUGUUAGUAUAUUAUAGGAAAGUUAUAAAGCGAAGGAGUAUUAACUAAUAAUUACUUUGUGAGGGCAAAUAGGCGAAAUUUUACUAAGUUUUUUCAAUAGAUAAAUCAAAAGUCAGUUUCUAAAAAUAUUUUAGGUUUGCAAAUCUGGUUAAAUAUGUGUAUUUGAUCUGAAUCUGUUUGGAUUAUGUAUAUGGUCUAAAUAAGUUAGGAAACUAUUAUCAAUUUCUGACUGAUUAAUGACAUUUAUGCCAAAAAUUUCUAGUUAUUAUUUUUAUUUUCCGUUGCUCCUUUUCCCAGCUUGGUAGAGCCAUAGUCAUGUACUAUUCUUGGCAUGAGCAGAGGUGAAUGUAGGGCAUUCCUGUUUAAGAAUCUUAGGUGAUUCCAACGUGAGAAAUGACAACGAAUUAGUUAAACCGUAUGACUUUACUCCUUUAGCAAUGGGGGGUGCUUUUCUUUUUCUUUACUUGAUGCUUGGUUUAAUUAUAAUAUAAGAAGCCAAAAAGGAAGACCAGGAAAGCACAUCAAUAGAAUGGAGCUUGGCUUUAAGUUUUUGUAAUUCUGUCACUGUAAAGCUUGCUCACUCUGACACAGAAUCUUAAUUUGUCUGAUAAUUUGCAAUAAUACGAGAAUGACCCUUUUGCUCUAAUAAGUUCUAUACUAAGUUGAAAGAGAUAGAUAGACAACGUAAUUUGUUGUCAACAAUAACAGUUAUAACCUGGGCAGUUGCUAAAUGUAGGUUCUAUCAUGUUAGCCAAGGGCAGGCAAGAAUUUUGAUUACAAAUCCUAACGUUAAUUGAUAGAAGUUAUCCUAUCUAAUCUACUAAUUCUUUUGGCAAAAAGAGGAAGUGUAAGAGGAUCCAUAAUUUGCUAAAAGGCCUAUAAGUCGAUUGAUUCCCUCCUCUAUCAGCAGGCUUGAAUGUGAACCAUGCUUCUCCAAUCUUUUAUAUGAUGCGUUGAACUUUUGCAUCAAUAGUCCUUGGAGUAUUGCUCAAGUGAUUCCUAAGUCAUGAUGACACACGGGGCUUUAGAAUCGAGUGACAAGCGCAAUUCAACGUCCUCCAUGAAAAGUAUCAAAUAAUAUGGAAGUUACAUGAUCGUUCUCUUACAAUAUUCUUAAAUUGAUUUGGAGUACAACUACAUCUAACUCGUCAGAUAUUGGUAAUCAUCCUGGCUUGAUUGCACAACGACUUAUAAUCGCCGUGCAGAAGCAACUGAUAAGGAAAUAGACGAUGAAGGAAGUUAAUCGAAAAGUUCUUAGACUUGAACUUGCCAUUGGCUUUGAGAAAGAAAAUGUAUGAACUAGCUUGAUGAUUCCUUAAACAAAGUAAAUUUACAUAAAUGAUUGAAUGUGUUAGGUCUGGUUCCAGGAAAUUGACCAACGAGAAUAAUUGGAUUUUUGCCAACUCAAUAAUGACAAUAAUAAAACAAAUAAAUCAAAUAGAGAAACACAGGAAUUUACGUGAUUCGGUCCAAUUGACCUACGUCCACGGACGAAGGGGUAGCAGAUUUACUAUAACAGAAAGAGAGUACAAAACCCUAAAAAAUAAUUUUCUAGUCCAAAAGGUACCUAAAACUGAAAAUACAAAAAAGCCUAAAUAGUAUUAAAUGUUUAAUGGCCCAAAGACCCAUGACUUACUCUUUUGGUUUGAUACCAAAUCAAAACUCCUCUCAGACUGGGGUGUGGGCCUCGUAAAACUCUCUAGGACUGGUGCAUAUGGCACUUGGGUUGGUGCCCUUAGCACACUUAAACUCAUUUAAGCCCACUAUAUUUAUAACUACCAAGAGGAGAUACUUCUUUAUAAAAGUCCCGAUGUGAGAUACAAAGACAUAUUCAACAAAUCUCCACCUUAGCGUGCAUCCAACAUCGAUAAAUAGUAGAUAGAUAAAUAGUAGAUAAAUAGCAAACAAGCUCCACAUUCUCUAUAAAAGUCCCAACGGAUUUCAAUGAACCAUAAAAGUUCCAACGAACCAUAACGAGCUGCCAACGAACAAAUAUGCAAAAAGCUCAACAGGUCCUAACGGGCCAAAUUUCACAAAAGGUUCAACAGAUCCCAAUGGGCUAAAAACCACGAACAUAGUAAUCUUGCUCCACCUUCUUCUCAAAACCCUUAACAAGUUCCAACGAGCCAAAUAACUCUUUUUCAAAACCCAAUUGAACUCCAACGAAAAUUUCUUUUCUUCACUCUCUGUAGCACCCAAAACCUAUUAUUGUCAUCAAGAACCCAAAAUCUGACCAUGACCCAAAACUUGAAGCUCUGAUACCAAUUUGUUAGGUCUGGUCCCAGGAAAUUGACCAACGAGAAUAAUAGGGUUAUUGCCAACUCAAUAAUGAUAAUAACAAAACAAAUAAAUCAAACAAAGAAACACAGGAAUUUACAUGGUUUGGUCCAAUUGACCUAUGUCCACGGGUAAAAGGAUAGCAGAUUUACUAUAACAGAAAGAGAGUACAAAAGAGAGAGUACCAAACCCUGGGAAAUAAUUUUCGGGUCCAAAAAGCACCUAAAACUGAAAACACAAAAGAGCCUAAAUAGCACUAAAUGCUUAAUGGUCCAAAGGUUGGUUUGAUGCCAAACCAAAACUCUUCUCAAACUGGGGUGUGAGCCCCCCAAAACUCUCUAGGACUGGUGCAUAUGGCACUUGGACCGGUGCUCUUAGUACAGUUAAACUUACUUAAGUCCACUAUAUUUAUAACUACCAAGAGGAUAUACUUUUUUAUAAAAGUCCCGAUGUGGGAUACAAAGACAUACUCAACAAAAUAAAAUUCAACAAAACUCCUCAUUCUAAUUACUGGAAAUGAGAUAAGAGUUGGUGCCUAAUUUUAAACCUUAGAAAAGCUAGAAUAGGUUCUUUAAAUUGUCAUUUUUUCUAUUUUUGAGAGUUGUAUCUUUCUUUGCCUUCUGCCCAAGUAUUAAUUGUUGAGAAUCUCUUGAAGUGGUAUCUACCAGCUGAUUGUAACUGCUUCUUGUUGAUUCUCCCAUGUUCUACUAACUGAUACUUUUCCAUUUGUCAAAAACCCUACACCAAUUUGUUCAUUAACCUUUAGGAAGUAUCUUCAGAGAUCCUCUAAUCGGUGGACUUGCUUCAGCAUGUCAACCAUCUUUUGAGUGAUGAACACUUGGUGAUUGAGAUGAUUUUUCCUUCUAACAUGCUUUUCAAAUCAGACACUUUGACAAUGUCCCACUAACUCUGACAUUUCUAUUCAUCCCAUUUUUUGUAGCUGGCAAACUAAACUGAAUUCAUUUUUGAGCAUGCUGUUGUUGAAAGAAAAAUAACCAAGUUGAUUGAAAACUAAGAAGAGCUGCAGAUUGAAAACGUAAGAGAACUGAUUUAAAGUGCACCCACAUCUAACUCAUCAAAGAUUGCUGCAUAUCCUGCCUUGAUCGAAUCAAGGACUUAAAAUUAUUGUACAGAUGUAACUGAUAAACAAAUGGAUGAUGAAAGAAGUUGAUUGAAAGGUUCUCGGAGUUGAACAUGUCAUUGAAUUUGAGAAAAAAAAAAACUAGGCUGAUGAUUGCUUAAACAAAGUAGAUUUACGCUAACGAUUGAAUAAAAUUCAACAAAACUCUUAAUUCUAAUUGAGACCGAAUUCUAAUUCCUAGAAAAGCUAGAGAGAUAUUCUUUAAAUUGUUUUUUUUUUUUGAGAGUUUUGUCUUUCUUUGCCUUCUGCGUAAGUAUUUAUAGUUGAGAAUCUCUUAAAAUAGUAUCUGCCAGCUGAUUGUAAUAGCUUCUAGAUGUUGAUUCUCCUAUUAUCUACCACUUUCUAGGUAUCACUACUCUGCCAAAUCAACUACUGCUUCAUCAAGUCAACCACUAGUUGUUAGAAAAUUGACUUAAUUUUUUUAAAUAGGUUUUUUAUUUUGUGUGAAAGUAAUUAGUUUUCUAAUUAGUUUUAGUUACUUAAAAUAGUAGACAAGAAAUUUUCUAUUUUGUUUAGGAUUUAGAAGUUACUUUCUAUUCUAUAUAAGUUUAGGAAUUAGCAUUUGUUUUCUGUUAUUAUUUGAUUUUUGACCAAAUAAUGUUUUCUAUAAAUUGAUGGGUUGGCAUAGUACAAAAAGACACACAUGACAGGUGCCGAACCUGUGCAAUAAUAAUAAAUAAAACCUAACUACCACUUAGAAUAGUCAAUAAUCAAUUCGAGUACUGGAGCAUGGACUCUAGGUGUGCAAUGGGUUACUUGAUUCAUCCUGUUCCCGAAGAGUUUGCUUAAUCCGAUAUACCUGAAUUAAUUAUUUAACUGAAUUCCCUAACUAGUAGACAGUGGUAAGCAGGGUCGUCUCCUCAGGGACUAGCAAGAUACUUUGUUUCUUUUCAAAUCAGGAUUAAUGGGGGGGGGGGUUUUGGUAUGUAACCAACUAAAUAAAUUAAAUGCAGAAAAUUAUUAAUUAAAAGAAAUAACUAAGAGAAACUCUAGCCAAGGGUACACCUCAGAAAUGGUUCAGGCACUGAUCAUUGAUUCACAGAUAAUUCCACAUUUAUUAAUAGACUAGUUAUAGUUGUCAUGCGCGCGAUAAACAACCAACCUUUCCUUAAUUUCUCGAUAGUUAAGGUACGACCGUAGGAUUUAAUUUUUAGAUUGCAUUAAUAAUUAGAAAGGCCCAAUCCUAACUAACAAACACGCUACGAGAGUUUGUUUAAGCUAGAUCGUAUGCUCCCCUGACAUAAACCCAAUUACGCCAGUCGCUACUGAGAUAGAGAUAACGAACAAUUACGGAUUCAAUUACCUCUAUUUAGCAAAAUAGCCUAUAUGAAUAAUUAAUUAUUGCGCACUAAUCAAUCAUACAUAAGGACUAUAACAAUUAAAAACAGGAAACACAUAAAUACCAAUAAAUGAGGAAGCGAUUAAAAUAAUUUCGAUCUCACAGUAAUUGUUGAACCAAGUCUUCAGUUGUCCCCUUGACUAGAAUUUGGGGUUUAGUUCCUCAUUAGUGGAAAUUAGGCCGCGCGUGGAGAAUUGAGAAAGGUGUGCAACUCGAUUCUCCCGCUUCGAUACACCACAGGAGGGAAGAAAAACACGAGAUUGUUUCUGCUCUCCAAUUCAAUUCACGCAAGGUAGGACAACCAAAAGCAAAGUCAACAAUGGCGGCUCCUUUAAGCUUUCCUACUUCUCCCACACAAGAAACAUACGAGAGAUUGGAGAAUUGUUUUCAUUUCUCAAUUUGGUCAAAGAACAAUGCAAAGCUCACAGAAUCCCCAAAGUCAACAAAAAUGGCUGGUGUCUGCAAAGAAAACAAAACAAAGCUGCCGCACUCCCGUGUCCUCCAAAAACAAAGAAAAAAGACUCCCCUUAAACCUAAGCUGCGCGAGAGAUAAAAAUACAAUCCCCACAAUAGCCGAAAAAUUGUUACUUGUUCCAAAUUUGCAGCCAGACUCCCUAAGAUAUAUUAAAAUAAAAUCUAUUACAAUUAGGUUUCUUCAACUUCUCAAACGGGCCCCACGUCCGAUGAAUCUUCUAAAAGUUGAAUUUAAGCACUUUUCAGCAACCAUUCCUGCAAUUAGCACCAAAACAAAAUAUCAGUAGAAUCCACCCAAUUAACGAAAAUAUUUAGUCAAUUAAUUGCGCAAUAAUGCCCAAAAUACCCACUAAAAUGCAACCUAUCAACACAUAAGGGCAUACAAGAGACGACAUGUAGCUUUAUAUAUGAGUGGUGAGAAAGGAUUCUUGGGAGAUUAGAGAUGCCAUACAAGGGUUGAAUUUGGAUUCAAAUUGUAUUCUUGUAUAAGAUUUUCCUCUCAUAAUAAAGAAGGAUUUCUCUCCGUGAACAUAGAUUUAAUGAUGAAGUCGAACCACGUUAAAUCUUGUAUGUCAUUUAUCUUUUAGGCUUAUGGCUUGUUCUUCAUUAAAUUGUUGUGUACUUGAUAUCUCAAUAGUUAUUUGUUCUGCGCUUAGAUCCCAACAAACUGAUAUCGGAGCAGGGUUCAUGGUAGGAUCCUAGUUGACUAUUGAUAUCAAGUAGGUUGAUGGCUAUUACCAAUUGAACAAUUUAAUGGGUGGUAUUCUUGUUUCAAUGACUUGGUAAAAAUUAUUGAUGGUGAGAAAUGAGAAGUUGGAAAGCAUAAAGAUACUUGACAGUAAAUUUAGGAAAGUGAUUUAAAGGUUAAGAAAAAAGUGGAGUCCAAUAUUGAUUUUGGACAUGAAUUGGUAGAGACUUUUUUAUAACUCCAACGGUUGAUAUUUCAUCCCGGAUGGUUUUUAAAUUCGAAUCAUAUUCUUUAGGUGGUGUGGUAUGUGUUCUAAAGAAAUAAAGGGAUCUAAUUCCUAAGUGUCUGAAGACUUUGACAGUUACGAGUUUUUUUAAUUUUAGAUGGAGUUUUGAAAACUAUAUGUGGCAAAACAGUCUUGAAAAUGGGAAGAAGUAUAAUAAUUUUACCACUUGAUUGCAUCAAUGGGUAGAAAUAAAGCUCACAAAAGAGGAUUCCAAGUUACAAGUGGUGGUAAGAAAAAAUCUUAUAAAGAAAGAUGGUGAAUUGAGACACCUUCUCACGAGUUAACAAGAGAUUAAACUCGAGAUAACUAUGCAUGUCCAUUUGCCGAUUGAAUUAAUUGGAUAUUAGGACUGUAUUGAUUCGGAUAUGUAGUUCGGUACCAUUUUAUUGGGUAGUUGAAAGCAAAUGAUUACUAAAAGAAAUAUUCGCCAAGGUGAAAAUUUGUUAGGAAAUUGGUUUAAUUUCUUUUAGGCAGGUUUUUUUUUUUUACUUUUUGUGAAAGUAACUAGUUUUCUAAUUGGUUUUAACUACUUAAACUAGUAGCCAAGAAAUUUCCUAUUUUGUUUAAAAUUUAGAAGUUAUUUCCUAUUCUGUACAAGUCUAGAAAUUAACAUUGGUUUCCUACUGUUAUUUGAUUUUUGGCCAAAUAAUGUUUUCUAUAAAUAGAUGAAUUGGCAUACUACAAAAGACGCACAUGGAUUGGCAUACUACAAAAGAUGCACAUGAGGACACAUAAGAGGCGACAUUUAACCUUAUACAGGGGUGAUGAGAGAGGAUUUUUUAACUAAGGCAUGCCAUCACUUGCCAUCAAGUUGAUGUUUACACGGGGUCAUGCGUCUCCUAUCUUGCUGGAGAAAAGACUGAGCCAGGAAAAACAUAUUGCAAUAAGGUGAGGAGCUUAAUAGGGAACGUGAAGACACCAGCAGACAGAAGUGAUCAUGCAGGUGUUAAAGAUGUAGCAAAUCACUUCCCUCAUCUCAAGGAUGAUAUCCAGUAUGUGUUGACGCAAUCUUCUGGACUGUCUCUGGCUCAUUUAUUAUUUCAGCUCUUGGAUUAGCCUGAUUCACUUGAAAUGACACUCUGGGUGUCUCAACGCUGGAUUCACAUAGGUCUUGAGGCCUUCAUCUCAGGGGUCUGCACCUCAUUAGCCAUGACCACUGGCUAACCUUUUUUUUUUGACUUCUGGCAGGGUUGAAAAUGCAGAGGUGAGAGGCAAAAGAAUGGUGAAAGAUGACUUCCAUUCUUUGAUUGAAUGAAUGAAAAAUCAAACAAUGAAAUAUACAGAAAAUAAGCUAUAACAAAUGAGGUGGCACAAUAUGGUUAGCCGUCAGUGUAAACAGGUUUCUAUCGAUAGUGUACAAAAGAUUUACUCUUUGAGGAUAAAAAAUACUUCUUUUGUUCCACUGCAUUUCAUAACUUUUACUAAAGAAGGCUACUAUUCUGCUGCAUUUAGUUCUUCUGUUCAAGAAACUCACCAGAACUGAACAAACAGCAAAUCAAUUAUAACGUUUGGCUAUGCUUUCAAGGUUGAUUCGUUUAGCUUACAGGGCUUCCAGAGCUCAAAACGCAACAUGCGCUUUUGGACAAGUCAGUUAAUUAUUUCUACUUAUCUAUAUAACGAAACAUACAUCUGAUAAUCUUGACAACUACAGUAGCAACAAACUUCGCGACAAAUUGUUUCGCCAUAGUGCAAGGGGAAACAACGAAAUUUAUUAUCGAAGCAUGACCAGGUGGUAGUAUGUAAUUUCCUUUCUAACAGUAGUGCCAUUGUGCCAAAAGGGAGGUUCAGGAGCUCAUGUUCAAAAACAUUUCCAAACAGCCAAGGAAUUGUCAGAUUGUAUGGAAUGCGACAAUCGAUUUACAUGUAAUGUUUGCAGAACAGGCAUUGCAACUAUACUCCACUUUCUUCCUACUCAUUUUUCUGCCUAAUCCAUCCCAAACAAAAAAAUAUGUUGUAAAUGAACCCCAAAUUUCAGAAGAUAAUAGGGGACUUGCAGUUUCCAAUUGGUGGGGCUAUCUUUUGCUUAUCAGCAACGAAUAGCUUCAGAAACUAGCCAGAAACAUUAGCAUUGCGGUUGGUACAAGUUAUGGUGUCGGAUACUUUGAACUAGCUUAAAAGAUAAAGAUUCCAGACCUGAAACAUCAAAUUAGCUAGUGAAACAAUGCUUGGCUCUAGAGUCUGGAUAUCGAAAUUCUCUAUUUAUUUAUGUUAAUUUUCCCAAAACAACACAGCUCAUCUUUCUUCUGAUGCUUGUUCUUACAAAGGAAUAAAAUAUGUACAGUACAAAACAAUUUGGUUUGCAAGAUCGGAUCGUAGAAUCGGAUCAUAGAAUCGGUAGAUCCUACAAAAAAUAUAAUAAAUUGUUAUAUUUAUAAUUUUUAAGUUUGCAAUUCAUAAAUAUAGUAACAAAUAAUGUAAUUCAUGUGCAAUCAAUAUAAUUAUAUUGUUAAUUAAGGUUAAUUCAUUUCUAAAGGCUCUAAACCAUAUUAAUUUAUUAUAAUAAAGACACAAAACACUAGCUCCAUGUGAUAACCUGUAACAAAGAUCAUUUAUUCACUUUAGUGAAUUAUAUGAGUCAAAUUUAAAGAUUCAUCAAAAUUUCUAGGUUUGGAAUUGGGUUUAAUUAUUUACAUGGAUUUAAAGCACUCUGAGGCUCUGUUUGAUAAAACUGAAUCUAAAUUCUGAAUUCUGAAUACUGAAAUAAUUAAUUUGCUGAAUAUUAAGCACUGCAAAAAGAUAUAUGAAUAUCUGAAUUUUAAUGCUGAACAUAUUUAUACUGUUUGAUAAACAUUUAUAACUUAAUGUUUAAUAAGCUAAAUUGUACAAUUUUGCCCUUCUAUCUUUUAAUCCAAAAAAGGAAAUAGAACAUAUGAUUUAAUUAGUUUAAAAUUGUUAGGUAUGAAAAUGACAAUAUUUAUUUUUAAAUCAAAGUACUAUAAAAGAAGAAAUAUAUUAUGGAAAAGUUCAAAUAUCGGUGCAAAUAUAUUUUUAAAUCAAAGUUUGAUAAGAAAAGUCCAAAUAUAAGCAAAAGGAAGCUGCAAUAAACAAGUUUUAAAUUCACACCAAAUUAUAUAGAAAUUUAAUUACUUCAAUGGAAAAAUGCACUCAUUCACUCCAAAGUGUAUAUGAAAUGUAUAUAAGAUGGCUCUCAAGACAACACAAUAGAAUGACACUACCAUAAGCUUGCUCAUAUAUCAUAUCUCCACCACUCACUCAUGAAUUUAAAUGCAGCAAUCAAGGGACUUGCAAGGUUGUAAUGGGGUUAGGGUGAGAAAGUAGGAUAAAAAGGAGUCAAGAGGGUGUAAAAGUAUAAAGGAAGUGCUCAGAAAUUCAUUACACAGAUUCUUGCACAUUGGGAACUUCAAAGCAUCUCAACCAUUACACAAGUGAAGCAGAUUAGCACUUGCCGCAACCUUCGACUUUUCUUUUCUCCUCCUUUCAUUCAUCUACUUCCCUUUUGUCAUCUUUUUUUUUUUUUUCAAUAACUCCCAACCAGCACCCUAGAAAUCAAUUUUACUUGUUGAUUUCCUGCACUUUGUCUUCUUUUCACAUUUCCCUUUCUUUUUUUUUCUUUUUUUCUUUCUCUCUUUUUUUUUUCGAUACAUAAAUGGGUGUAAUGCCCCCCGAAUAGUACUCCAAAAGUCCGUAUAAUGAAAUCAAAGCACUUCUUCACACGAGGUUCAAAAAGUCUAAAGAGAGGUUUUUCGGCUAAAAACUAGGGUCUCAAGCGAAAAAUAGGAUGUAACGCUCAACUUGGCUCCCUAAUGGUAAAUAAUCCAAGGGUGAGUUUUAAGAAAGUCCAAAAUGGCUCAUUCCUAGGUGCCCUAUCAUUUCAAUGCAUUAAAUUUAUUUAAAUGUGAUCUUGACAUGCAUAACCGAGCAAGUUCUAGAAUGACAAACCAUGUGCACUAACCACUCAAAAAAACGAAAAAUUAGGCUCAAAAAUCGCACGAGUUGUCAAAUUUAUGUCAAGUUCAGCAUAUUCAUCAAUCAAUUCGUCAUCGAGGAAAAUAGAACACCCCAUGGCAUGAACUUGCUACGUACACUCAUAUCUCGAUUGCAUUCAUCACAGUUUAAAGAAAGGAACUACUAAGGCAAUGGAAAAAUUUAAUCAGACAACUAAAAACACAACCAAAGCAUAGUUAACCCUCCCCCACACCUAAACCUUACAUUGCCCUCAAUGUAAGCAAAGUAAGACCAAAUCAGAGGUAUUGGGGCAACGACACUUCCCUUAAAACGGAGGAGGGCAGAAAUGAAUCAUGACUGCGGAGGAAAAGGCGGGCGGAAGCCCACGUGAUGGAGAUACUGCGCUAUAUUCUGGGCCAUCCCUCCCAUUUGACGCUCCAUCCGAUCCAUACGAGUGUCCAUGUGCUGCAUCUGGAACCGGAGGGCUGCAAGCUGGCUAUCGACGGAGGAAGAUGGUGGGGGUGCCGAAGAGGAUGGUCCGGGUACAUCCGUGGACGGGCCACCAGCCUCCGUGGCAGUGGAUUUGGAUGCUCUGCGCUUCGGAGGAACGGAGAUUGGCCCCGGAGGGGCAAACUGGAAAGUACCAUUUACUUGUCGCACAAGACCCAUUUUUUCCAAACAAACCAAAUCAAGGGGCUCCAUAAUACAAGCACGAUGUAAGUUAUAAUUAUUCAAGUCCAAAACCCCAAGAUUUACAGCUAACUAAGUGAUAAAGGAGCCUAAGAUUAAUGGCUUAUUUUUCUUACUUAGCACAGUUCGGAGGUGGAGGGCAAACCAGCUACCCAAAUUGACCCUAGUCCGAGUGACCAUGCACCAAACGAAAAAGAACUCGGGCUUAGUCAGAGUACCCGAGCUAUCCUUCCUACCGGAGAAACUAUAGGCCAUGAAUCUAUGUAAAUAGUGGUAGGCGGCGCUCUUAAGAUAAGAAGCCUUAGACUGACUGGGGUCAUAGCAUUGCUGGUCAACCGACAAACCACUCCAAUAUUCGCACGCACUGUGCAUAUACUCCUCACUCUGAGAGUAAGGAAUAUCAAUAAACCCAAGAGCCAAAUUAAACUCAGUGAUAGAUUGGUUGAACUCUCUACCCAUUAAUCGAAACCUCACUACCCCAGGAGUGGUAACGGAGAAUUCAUCAGGAAUACUAAAUUCAAAGGUAGCAUAGAAUUCCCACGUGAGUUCAGUAAAAGCAAGUAGAUUGACAGAAGCAUAGCGGGUCCAACCUACGUUAGUCAAGUGCUGCGUGACCUCAUCCCUCAGGUUAAGCAUAUCAAGUGUAGGGCCAUGGAUAUAUUUACAAGGAAUUAUCUUUCUUGUGCAAGCCGAGGCAUACCGCUCCUUGUCGGCAGCCCGGGUGAAGGUCAAAUUACCGCCAAAAUGGGCCGGAGAGGAGAUAUGAACCUCCCUAUUCCGUCCAAGGCGGGUACAGGGCCUUCCAGGCCCAGUCGAUGGGGCAGGUCCCUCUAAGGGGACCGUAGGCUGAGGGGUUGAAGUGGAAGGCUUGUUCUUGCCUUUAGUUUUUGGUUUGGUCAUUUGGGCUAACGGGUAGGACAGAAGCAAGGCAAAUGUGCACAAAAGAGGUCAAGAGGCAGCCGAAUCAGCAAAGAGUCCCAAUCACAGCUUACAAUCGCAAACAAAUGCACAAUCAACAAUAUAACUACCCCAAAAGCCAAUGAAUCCUGUGAACAGCCAAAAUUUUCUCCAAACACUACCAAAUAACCCCAAAAUCACUUAACAAGACAAACGUCGCAAAUUUUCCCCAAAUAUUUCUGGUUGAGCACAAAAUUUCACAAAUAGACCAUAAUCAACCCAGAUAUAUCACAGCACCCAAAAUCAAACAAGAAAUUAAAAAUCUGGCCUCAGCUAAGAAAGUAAAAAUCUGUCCUCUGCUAAACAAAAAUUAAGAAUCUGGUCUCAGCUAAUUAGGGACAGUAAAUGAAAGAGAGAUAUCACCGGAGAAAAAUUUUUCAGCUCAUUUGACAGGUUGAGGAGGGACGCGCGUGGCCUGCGAUGGUGGUCUUGGAGAUCGCGCGCAAUGACUGCUGGAGCUCGCGCGCUUGGCUGCUGGAGCUCCCGCGCCUGGCGUCGUGCUGCUGCUGUGCGGUGGGGAGUGGCGCGCGGGCUGGUGGACUGUGCGGGGGAUGCACGGCUGGGGCUCCCGCUGAGCUCGCCCGGGCGCUGGGCUCGCGCGCCUGCUGCUGCUGCUGUGCGGUGACGCCCUUGAAGAGGAGCAGAGGAGCUCGCGGUGAUGCGCGCAGAGAGGGGCUGGGCUGGGUCAGGCUGCUGGAGAUGCGCGCGCGGUGGCUGCUGGCGGUGGAGGAUCUGGUGGCAGAGCUCGCGCGCUGAGUGGCGUGGAGCUGCCGGGCGCGCGACUGGUGGAUUGUGCAGUGGGUCUACGGCAAGGGAAGCUUGUGCGGCUGCUGCGAGCUGGGCUGGAGCUUGGUGGACGGCGGCGGGCAGCGAGGAGCGACGGCGUGCGGUGCGGCGGCGGACCAAGCAAAAGAAGGAAAAGGAGAAAAGAAAGAAAAGGAAGAAGAAAGAAGAAAGAAAGAAGAAAGAAAGAAAAGGGAAGAAAAGAAGGAGUAGGGCUACGGGUCUUUUGAAUUUUUUUUUUUUUAACGUGAUCACCUGGCGUGGGCACGCUCAACUUCCAUAGAGUCCGCAGAACCUGAACGAAAAUUUCCUCCGUCAGGCGUGACCAUCUGACGUGGGCACGUCUAACUGCUAUGAAGGUCGCAGAACCUGAGCGAAAAUUCCUUUUCUUCAGGCGUGACCAUCUGGCGUGGGCACGCUUAACUGCUAUGAAGCCCGCAGAACCUGAACGAAAAUUUUCUCCGUCAGGCGUGACCAUCUGACGUGGGCACGUCUAACUGCUAUGGAGGUCGCAAAACUUGAGCGAAAAUUCCUUUUCUUCAGGCGUGACCACCUGGCGUGGGCACGCCUAACCGCUAAUUCCCUGCCACCAAAUAUCAAACCAUUAAUUGACACUAACACUUAACUAAAACUUCAAAAAUGUAUGAAAACUAAAACAAAUAGUCUUGGGUUGCCUCCCAAGUAGCGCCUUUCUUUAAUGUCUUUGAAUAGACAUGGCCAAAACCCUCAAGUAUGAUAAAGUGGAUCUUGGAGGUGUUCAACCUCUACUUCUUCAACAUAGAAACCCUCAUAAUAAGGUUUGAGACGAUGGCCAUUCACCACGAACUUUUUCUUCGUUUUUAAACUUUGGAUCUCCACUGCACCAUAAUGGAACACAUUAGAAACGACAAAUGGACCAAUCCAACGAGAACGCAACUUACCGGGAAAAAGUUUAAGCCUUGAGUGAUACAAGAGGACUUUUUGCCCCACUACAAAAGUUUUCCUAGAAACCUGCUGAUCAUGAAAGAUUUUACUCUUUUCCUUAUAGAUCGUGGCAUUCUCAUACGCCUCAUUUCUUAUUUCCUCUAACUCUUGUAGCUGCAAUUUCCUUUGGACCCCUGCUUUAUCUAAUCCCAUGUUACACUGCUUCACCGUUCAAAACGCCUUGUGUUCGAACUCCACGGGGAGAUGGCAAGCCUUACCAAAAACAAGUCUAUAAGGAGACAUCCCAAUUGGCGUCUUAUACGCGGUUCUAUACGCCCAUAGUGAGUCUUCUAGCUUUAAACUCCAAUCUUUCCUGUCCGGGCGCACCAUCUUCUCCAAGAUCGACUUGACUUCCCUGUUUGACACUUCGGCCUGACCGUUUGCCUGCGGGUGAUACGGUGUGGAUACCUUAUGGAGUACACCGUAUUUUCGAAACAAGGCCGUGAUAGUCUUAUUGCAGAAAUGUGUCCCUCUAUCACUAACCACAGCUCUUGGCAUUCCGAAACGGACAAAGAUAUUAGAUUUUAAGAACUCUGCAACCACUCUAGAAUCAUUAGUACGGGUGGCUUUAGCUUCCACCCAUUUAGAGACAUAAUCUACAGCAAGUAAGAUGUAUAGGAAACCAAAAGAUGAGGGAAAAGGACCCAUAAAAUCUAUCCCCCAAACAUAAAAAAUUUCAACAAACAAUAUGGGGGUUUGAAGCAUUUGGUCCCUACGAAAAAUAUUCCCCACCCUUUGACACCUAUCACAGGAUUUACAGAAUAAAUAAGCAUCUUUAAACAGGGUAGGCCAGUAAAAGCCACUCUCUAACACUUUGCGAGCUGUUUGCUUGGGCCCAAAAUGCCCUCCACAUGCAAACGAAUGACAGAAAUUUAAAAUGGAGUGAAAUUCACCUGCACUUACACACCUCCUGAGCACUUGAUCCGAACAUUGUCUCCAAAGGUAUGGGUAGUCCCAAAUGUAAUAUUUGGCAUCACUCUUCAACUUGUCUCUCUUAGCCUUCGGCCUACCUGCAGGCAAUUGAUUCGUCACUAAGAAAUUUACUAAAUCGGCAUACCAGGGUAUAGACGCGUUCACAGCAAGUAGUUGUUCCUCUGGAAAUGCCUCCCUCAAUGGUGGCUCCUCCUUAUGAGCAAGUAAGCGGCUCAAGUGAUCAGCAACUAAAUUUUCUGCCCCACUUUUAUCCUUAAUCUCCAAGUUGAACUCCUGAAGGAGCAGGAUCCAUCUGAUGAGCCUUGGUUUAGCAUCCUUCUUCAUCAUCAAGUAUCUCAAGGCUGCAUGAUCAGAGAAAACUGUUAUUUUUGCACCUAAUAAAUAAGGUCUAAAUUUUUCUAAUGCAAAAACCACAGCUAGCAAUUCUUUUUCUGUUGUAGAGUAGUUGAGCUGAGCUCCAUUUAACGCCUUCGAUGCAUAGUAGAUUGCAUGUGCAGCUCUGCCAAUCCGUUGCCCCAGCACCGCUCCCACUGCAUAAUCACUCGCGUCACAUAUUAUCUCAAAUGGGAGGCUCCAGUCUGGAAGUUGGAUAACAGGUGGUGAUGUCAAUGACUCCCUCAACCUGUCAAAUGCCACCUUGCACUCUUUGGUGAAGUCAAAUGCCACAUCUUUUUGCAACAGUUUGAACAGGGGCGCUCCAAUUUUGGAGAAAUCUUUGAUGAAUCUCCUGUAGAACCCUGCAUGACCCAAAAAGCAGCGCACCUCCCGCACACUUGCGGGGUAAGGUAAAGCAGAAAUAAUAUCGACUUUUGCCUUGUCUACUUCUAUACCUCUGGCCGACACUACAUGCCCUAAAACAAUGCCCUGGUCCACCAUGAAAUGACACUUUUCCCAAUUUAAAAGUAAAUUUGCCUCAAUGCACCUCUUCAAAAUUAAAGCUAAAUUAUCCAGGCAUUCAUCAAAACUAUCUCCAUAAACACUAAAAUCAUCCAUAAACACCUCAAUAAUCUUUUCUACAUAUUCAGAGAAUAUACUUACCAUACACCUCUGAAAAGUUGCUGGGGCAUUGCAGAGGCCGAAAAGCAUCCGCCGAUAUGCAAAUGUACCGAAGGGGCAGGUGAAGGUAGUUUUCUCCUGAUCCUCUGGUGCUAUUGCGAUCUGAAAAUAACCAGAGAAACCAUCAAGAAAACAGUAAUAGACACGGCCAGCUAACCUUUCUAUCAUCUGAUCAAUAAAAGGUAGAGGGAAGUGGUCCUUCUUUGUCACAGCAUUCAGACGCCGAUAGUCAAUGCACUGGCGCCAUCCUGUGAGUUUCCUCACCAGGACCAUCUCACCCUCUUGGUUCUCUUCAACUGUUACUCCCGCUUUUUUCGGGACUACUUGCACUGGGCUCGCCCAGGGACUAUCUGAGAUGGCGAAAAUGAUCCCCACUUCUAGGAGUUUAAGUAUCUCUUUCUUGACCACUUCCAUCAUCAGUGGGUUCAAUCUCCGUUGCGCCUGCCUCACUGGUUUUGCAUCCUCCUCAAGCCGGAUCCGAUGCAUGCACAAAGAGGGGCUAAUUCCUUUGAUAUCUGCUACACUCCACCCAAUCGCCCCCUUAUGAUCUCGAAGAAGACGAAUUAGUCUGUCUUCUUGCCCUGGUGACAGGUGUGCAGAUAUGAUAACUGGUAGUGUCUCAUUGUCCCCGAGAAAAGCAUACUUCAAGUGCUUCGGGAGGGGCUUGAGCUCCAACUCAGGUGCCUGCACAAUAGAAGGCAACAAUUUUGCCUGAGUUUCUGGUGUAAAGACAGAAGUAAGCUCAUACCUUGGAGAACUUGGUGGGAGUAAAUGCAGUGCUCCAACAGCCCGGUAUAACUCAUCACUCAAUUCUACAUCAGGAGUUGCUCCCAACUCAAGAUGUUUGGCUAAUGCCACUGCCAGUGCAUCAACCCCAUCCAAUUCAAAUAUUUCCUGUACAAGGGGCUCAACAACACUUAAAGCAUAAACAGAGUUAGUCUCAUCUGGGUACUUCAUCGCCUCAAAAAUAUUAAAAUUUACAAUUUUCCCAUCAAACUCCAUCAACAAGGUACCCUCAUUUACAUCUAUUUUUGUCCUAGCAGUGCUUAAAAAUGGCCUACCUAACAGAAUAGGAGACGGAUUUAGUGCCCUUUCAUCCCCCAUGUCUAGGACAUAGAAAUCUGCAGGAAAAACUAACUCAUUGAUCUGUACCAACACAUCUUCAACUAACCCUUCUGGGUAAACAUUGGUACGGUCUGCAAGUUGGAUUAUAUUGCCUGUGCCUUUUAACGGGCCAAGAUUUAGAGAAACAUAAAUUGUCUUAGGCAUAACAUUAAUUGACGCCCCCCAGUCCAACAUUGCUUUCCUAAUUGGAGUACCUUCUAUCUUACAGGGAAUAGUGAACAUACCUGGGUCUCCACAUUUUGGUGGGAGCUUUCUCUGGAGUAUAGCUGACACGUUUUCUCCCACCGUCACUCGUUCAUCUCCCCUUAGCUUCCUCUUGUGGGUGCACAGGUCCUUCAAAAAUUUGACAUAUUUCGGUAUCUGCUUGAUUGCAUCCAAUAGGGGGAUGUUAAUCUCUACUUUCCUGAAUACAUCCAAAAGUUCCUUUUCCUUCUCUACUUUCCUUGUCUUUGCCAACCUGGAAGGAAAAGGGGGUAAGUUAGAUGUAGUAGUGGGUGGAGAGGUGGAGGUUACCUUAGGAUCUUCUCGGAUACGUCCUUCCUCUUCAAUUUCCUUUUCUAUCUCCUACUCACUUUUACUUUUUAAAUUUUUCACUUUAGACCCUUCCAACUCCUUGCCACUCCUCAGCGUCAUGGCACUUACAUUCCUGGGAUUUACCUCGGGUUGCGAUGGCAGUUUCCCAUAAACGUGAGACUCCAAGCGGUUGAUGGCAGUUGCCAGUUGACUUAUUCGAACAUCUUGGUCCUUCUUGUCAGCUUUGGUGUCCUGUUGGAGCUGCGCGGUAUUCGCGGCCAAGGAUCUGAUCUCCUGUUGAAGCUGUGUAGUAGUCGUGGCCAGGUUGGUAGUAAUCGUGGCCAGGUUCUUUACUAGGUCCUCCAAGGAGCUUCCUGUGUUGGAGGAUGAGGGUUGAGAUUUUGGUUGGCAAGGCUGGUGGAAUCCUGGUGGACGAUUCGGGAAUGAACCUUAUUGCCUGUUCCCAUAACUGAUAUUGGGAUGGUCUCUCCAACCGGGGUUGUAUGUGUUGGAAUACGGGUCAUACUGCCUGCGCCUCCAGCCAUAUUUACCUGUUCCGCCCCGUCCUCUUGCAGAAUGGGGCACGAAUCCGUGCAGUGGUCCAUGCUAGUACAGAUUCCACACACCUUUGCUCGCGGUGUGUCUCUCAUGGCCAAUUGGCUGACUGCAGACGUCAACUCUGACAGUUACUGCUGGAUGGAUGAUGUCUCUGCCUCAUUUACUCUACGGGUAGGAUUGCUCUCACGGAAGCCGAACUACUGAGAGUUUUCUGCCAUGGCUUCAAUAAGGUCCCAUGCUUCCCUCGGUGUCUUGUUCGCCAGGGCUCCUCCACUCGCAGCGUCAAUAAUACUCCUGUCAGUUGACUGGAGUCCCUCAUAGAAGUACUGGAUCAACAGUUGUUCACUAAUCUGAUGCUGUGGGCAUCUAGCGCACAACUUGUUGAACCUUUCCCAAAAAUCGUACAAUGACUCCCCGGAGUACUGCUUGAUGCUGAAAAUCUCCUUCUUCAAACUUGCAGCCCGGGACGCGGGGAAAAAUUUCUCCAGGAAUUUCUUUUUCAAUUGUGCCCAAGUGGUGAUAUUACCUGUAGAUAGGUAGUAUAACCAAUCCUUCGCUGCAUCCUUGAGCGAGAAGGGGAAGGCUCUCAGUCUUAUUUGCUCCUCAGUGACCCCAGGAGGUUUCAUGCUAGAGCAAACUAUUUCGAAUUCCUUGACAUGUUUGUGGGGUUCUUCACCAGAAAGACCAUGGAACGAAGGCAGGAGCUGAAUCUACCCCGAUUUCAGCUCGAAAGAGGUAUUUUCAACCAGAGUUGGGAACGUGAUGCACAAGGGCUGAUGAGUCAGGUUUGGGGUAACCAGCUCCCUUAAUGUCUGGGUGUUGGCCAUGCUAAAUUCGUUUUCUACUGGCUCGUUUGCAGAAAAUAAGUGCCCUUCUUUUCGUCUCUUGGUCUCUUGCCUUCGCCUACGCGCUGCCUUCUCAACCUCAGGAUCGUAUACCAAGUCACCUGUGCGAGAAGAACGGGGCAUAAACUAGCAAAAAUACCAAGAAAAAGAAAAAAAAUAAAAUAAAACAAAAUAAAAACUGAAUUCAAAAAGAAGCAAAUAAUUCAAACGCCAGUCCCCGGCAACGGCGCCAAAAAUUGACAGGUGCCGAACCUGUGCAAUAAUAAUAAAUAAAACCUAACUACCACUUAGAAUAGUCAAUAAUCAAUUCGAGUACUGGAGCAGGGACUCUAGGUGUGCAAUGGGUUACUUGAUUCAUCCUGUUCCCGAAGAGUUUGCUUAAUCCGAUAUACCUGAAUUAAUUAUUUAACUGAAUUCCCUAACUAGUAGACAGUGGUAAGCAGGGUCGUCUUCUCAGGGACUAACAAGAUACUUUGUUUCUUUUCAAAUCAGGAUUAAUGGGGGGGUUUUGGUAUGUAACCAACUAAAUAAAUUAAAUACAGAAAAUUAUUAAUUAAAAGAAAUAACUAAGAGAAACUCUAGCCAAGGGUACACCUCAGAAAUGGUUCAGGCACUGAUAAUUGAUUCACAGAUAAUUCCACAUUUAUUAAUAGACUAGUUAUAGUUGUCAUGCACGCGAUAAACAACCAACCUUUCCUUAAUUUCUCGAUAGUUAAGGUACGACCGUUAACUAUUUUUCUAACCCAAAAAUAACCCUAGGUACGACCGUAGGAUUUAAUUUCUAGAUUGCAUUAAUAAUUAGAAAGGCCCAAUCCUAACUAAUAAACACGCUACGAGGGUUUGUUUAAACUAGAUCGUAUGCUCCCCUGACAUAAACCCAAUUAUGCCAGUCGCUACUGAGAUAGAGAUAACGAACAAUUACGGAUUCAAUUACUUCUAUUUAGCAAAAUAGCCUAUAUGAAUAAUUAAUUAUUGCGCACUAAUCAAUCAUACAUAAGGACUAUAACAAUUAAAAACAGGAAACACAUAAAUACCAAUAAAUGAGGAAGCGAUUAAAAUAAUUUCGAUCUCACAGUAAUUGUUCAACCAAGUCUUCAGUUGUCCCCUUGACUAGAAUUUAGGGUUUAGUUCCUCAUUAGUGGAAAUUAGGCCGCGCGUGGAGAAUUGAGAAAGCUGUGCAACUCGAUUCUCCCGCUUCGAUACACCACAGGAGGGAAGAAAAACACGAGAUUGUUUCUGCUCUCCAAUUCAAUUCACGCAAGGUAGGACAACCAAAAGCAAAGUCAACAAUGGCGGCUCCUUUAAGCUUUCCUACUUCUCCCACAAAGAAACAUACGAGAGAUUGGAGAAUUGUUUUCAUUUCUCAAUUUGGUCAAAGAACAAUGCAAAGCUCACAGAAUCCCCAAAGUCAACAAAAAUGGCUGGUGUCUGCAAAGAAAACAAAACAAAGCUGCCGCACUCCCGUGUCCUCCAAAAACAAAGAAAAAAGACUCCCCUUAAACCUAAGCCGCGCGAGAGAUAAAAAUACAAUCCCCACAAUAGCCGAAAAAUUGUUACUUGUUCCAAAUUUGCAGCCAGACUCCCUAAGAUAUAUUAAAAUAAAAUCUAUUACAAUUAGGUUUCUUCAGCUUCUCAAACGGGCCCCACGUCCGAUGAAUCUUCUAAAAGUUGAAUUUAAGCACUUUUCAGCAACCAUUCCUGCAAUUAGCACCAAAACAAAAUAUCAGUAGAAUCCACCCAAUUAAUGAAAAUAUUUAGUCAAUUAAUUGCGCAAUAAUGCCCAAAAUACCCACUAAAAUGCAACCUAUCAACACAUAAGGGCAUACAAGAGACGACAUGUAGCUUUAUAUAUGAGUGGUGAGAAAGGAUUCUUGGGAGAUUAGAGAUGCCAUACAAGGGUUGAAUUUGGAUUCAAAUUGUAUUCUUGUAUAAGAUUUUCCUCUCAUAAUAAAGAAGGAUUUCUCUCCGUGGACAUAGAUUUAAUGAUGAAGUCGAACCACGUUAAAUCUUGUAUGUCAUUUAUCUUUUAGGCUUAUGGCUUGUUCUUCAUUAAAUUGUUGUGUACUUGAUAUCUCAAUAGUUAUUUGUUCUGCGCUUAGAUCCCAACAAACUGAUAUCGGAGCAGGGUUCAUGGUAGGAUCCUGGUUGACUAUUGAUAUCAAGUAGGUUGAUGGCUAUUACCAAUUGAACAAUUUAAUGGGUGGUAUUCUUGUUUCAAUGACUUGGUAAAAAUUAUUGAUGGUGAGAAAUGAGAAGUUGGAAAGCAUAAAGAUACUUGACAGUAAAUUUAGGAAAGUGAUUUAAAGGUUAAGAAAAAAGUGGAGUCCAAUAUUGAUUUUGGACAUGAAUUGGUAGAGACUUUUUUAUAACUCCAACGGUUGAUAUUUCAUCCCGGAUGGUUUUUAAAUUCGAAUCAUAUUCUUUAGGUGGUGUGGUAUGUGUUCUAAAGAAAUAAAGGGAUCUAAUUCCUAAGUGUCUGAAGACUUUGACAGUUACGAGUUUUUUUAAUUUUAGAUGGAGUUUUGAAAACUAUAUGUGGCAAAACAGUCUUGAAAAUGGGAAGAAGUAUGAUAAUUUUACCACUUGAUUGCAUCAAUGGGUAGAAAUAAAGCUCACAAAAGAGGAUUCCAAGUUACAAGUGGUGGUAAGAAAAAAUCUUAUAAAGAAAGAUGGUGAAUUGAGACACCUUCUCACGAGUUAACAAGAAAUUAAACUCGAGAUAACUAUGCAUGUCCAUUUGCCGAUUGAAUUAAUUGGAUAUUAAGACUGUAUUGAUUCGGAUAUGUAGUUCGGUACCAUUUUAUUGGGUAGUUGAAAGCAAAUGAUUACUAAAAGAAAUAUUCGCCAAGGUGAAAAUUUGUUAGGAAAUUGGUUUAAUUUCUUUUAGGCAGGUUUUUUUUUUUUUACUUUUUGUGAAAGUAACUAGUUUUCUAAUUGGUUUUGACUACUUAAACUAGUAGCCAAGAAAUUUCCUAUUUUGUUUAAAAUUUAGAAGUUAUUUCCUAUUCUGUACAAGUCUAGAAAUUAACAUUGGUUUCCUACUGUUAUUUGAUUUUUGGCCAAAUAAUGUUUUCUAUAAAUAGAAGAAUUGGCAUACUAUAAAAGACGCACAUGGAUUGGCAUACUACAAAAGAUGCACAUGAGGACACAUAAGAGGCGACAUUUAACCUUAUACAGGGGUGAUGAGAGAGGAUUUUUUAACUAAGGCAUGCCAUCACUUGCCAUCAAGUUGAUGUUUACACGGGGUCAUGCGUCUCCUAUCUUGCUGGAGAAAAGACUGAGCCAGGAAAAACAUAUUGCAAUAAGGUGAGGAGCUUAAUAGGGAACGUGAAGACACCAGCAGACAGAAAUGAUCAUGCAGGUGUUAAAGAUGUAGCAAAUCACUUCCCUCAUCUCAAGGAUGAUAUCCAGUAUGUGUUGACGCAAUCUUCUGGACUGUCUCUGGCUCAUUUAUUAUUUCAACUCUUGGAUUAGCCUGAUUCACUUGAAAUGAUACUCUGGGUGUCUCAACGCUGGAUUCACAUAGGUCUCAGGGGUCUGCACCUCAUUAGCCAUGACCACUGGCUAACCUUUUUCUUUUGACUUUUGGCAGGGUUGAAAAUGCAGAGGUGAGAGGCAAAAGAAUGGUGAAAGAUGACUUCCAUUCUUUGAUUGAAUGAAUGAAAAAUCAAACAAUGAAAUAUACAGAAAAUAAGCUAUAACAAAUGAGGUGGCACAAUAUGGUUAGCCGUCAGUGUAAACAGGUUUCUAUCGAUAGUGUACAAAAGAUUUACUCUUUGAGGAUAAAAAAUACUUCUUUUGUUCUGCACUGCAUUUCAUAACUUUUACUAAAGAAGGCUACUAUUCUGCUGCAUUUAGUUCUUCUGUUCAAGAAACUCACCAGAACUGAACAAACAGCAAAUCAAUUAUAACGUUUGGCUAUGCUUUCAAGGUUGAUUCGUUUAGCUUACAGGGCUUCCAGAGCUCAAAACGCAACAUGCGCUUUUGGACAAGUCAGUUAAUUAUUUCUACUUAUCUAUAUAACGAAACAUACAUCUGAUAAUCUUGACAACUACAGUAGCAACAAACUUCGCGACAAAUUGUUUCGCCAUAGUGCAAGGGGAAACAACGGAAUUUAUUAUCGAAGCAUGACCAGGUGGUAGUAUGUAAUUUCCUUUCUAACAGUAGUGCCAUUGUGCCAAAAGGGAGGUUCAGGAGCUCAUGUUCAAAAACAUUUCCAAACAGCCAAGGAAUUGUCAGAUUGUAUGGAAUGCGACAAUCGAUUUACAUGUAAUGUUUGCAGAACAGGCAUUGCAACUAUACUCCACUUUCUUCCUACUCAUUUUUCUGCCUAAUCCAUCCCAAACAAAAAAAUAUGUUGUAAAUGAACCCAAAUUUCAGAAGAUAAUAGGGGACUUGCAGUUUCCAAUUGGUGGGGCUAUCUUUUGCUUAUCAGCAACGAAUAGCUUCAGAAACUAGCCAGAAACAUUAGCAUUGCGGUUGGUACAAGUUAUGGUGUCGGAUACUUUGAACUAGCUUAAAAGAUAAAGAUUCCAGACCUGAAACAUCAAAUUAGCUAGUGAAACAAUGCUUGGCUCUAGAGUCUGGAUAUCGAAAUUCUCUAUUUAUUUAUGUUAAUUUUCCCAAAACAACACAGCUCAUCUUUCUUCUGAUGCUUGUUCUUACAAAGGAAUAAAAUAUGUACAGUACAAAACAAUUUGGUUUGCAAGAUCGGAUCGUAGAAUCGGAUCAUAGAAUCGGUAGAUCCUACAAAAAAUAUAAUAAAUUGUUAUAUUUAUAAUUUUUAAGUUUGCAAUUCAUAAAUAUAGUAACAAAUAAUGUAAUUCAUGUGCAAUCAAUAUAAUUAUAUUGUUAAUUAAGGUUAAUUCAUUUCUAAAGGCUCUAAACCAUAUUAAUUUAUUAUAAUAAAGACACAAAACACUAGCUCCAUGUGAUAACCUGUAACAAAGAUCAUUUAUUCACUUUAGUGAAUUAUAUGAGUCAAAUUUAAAGAUUCAUCAAAAUUUCUAGGUUUGGAAUUGGGCUUAAUUAUUUACAUGGAUUUAAAGCACUCUGAAGCUCUGUUUGAUAAAACUGAAUCUAAAUUCUGAAUUCUGAAUACUGAAAUAAUUAAUUUGCUGAAUAUUAAGCACUGCAAAAAGAUAUAUGAAUAUCUGAAUCUUAAUGCUGAACAUAUUUAUACUGUUUGAUAAACAUUUAUAACUUAAUGUUUAAUAAACUAAAUUGUACAAUUUUGCCCUUCUAUCUUUUAAUCCAAAAAAGGAAAUAGAACCUAUGAUUUAAUUAGCUUAAAAUUGUUAGGUAUGAAAAUGACAAUAUUUAUUUUUAAAUCAAAGUACUAUAAAAGAAGAAAUAUAUUAUGAAAAAGUCCAAAUAUCGGUGCAAAUAUAUUUUUAAAUCAAAGUUUGAUAAGAAAAGUCCAAAUAUAAGCAAAAGGAAGCUGCAAUAAACAAGUUUUAAAUUCACACCAAAUUAUAUAGAAAUUUAAUUACUUCAAUGGAAAAAUGUUGACGCAAAACAACAAAUAAUCAAUUGGAAAUAAUGAAUUUGACAUUGGUGAGCACGGUAGCAAUAAAAAAAAUUGGGAGGAAAAAAAUGACAAAAUUAUGAAAAAGUAGAAAGGUGGAAAAAGAUAAGGAGUAGACAGGUGUAAGGAGUAUGGAGAAAUUGUAAAAAAAUCAUUAAAUAGGGAGAAAAUAGAAGUAGAAAGCCAUUAGACAGAAAAUGUCAGGUUGUUUAAUUAGAUAAGGAUUUUGAAUGUAAUUAACAAACAAUGAUAGAUUUGGUAGAUAAGAUAAAGUAGUUGAAGUAAAUCUCUUGAUUCUUAUCAAAUUAAGCAUUCAGUUAUGAUUCUUGUGCUGCAAAAAAUACCUACAAAUUCAGCACCACUUAAUAAGUUCAGCAGAAAAAUUUUUAUUUAUCAAACACCCAAAAUAUCUGAAUGUCUGAAUGAAUUCAGUUUCAGCACUUUUUUAUGUUAUCAAACAGACACUGAAUAUAGUUUACAACGCAACAAACGAUUAGAACUCUGCAUCCAACUCCAGCACAAGGUCAUGGGGACCGAAAAUAGAGGCCAGGGUGACAGCUUUUCGUUGUGGGAUUUGGCUAAUUUUUUCCAACUCUUCCUCAGACAAUG
rnacentral:lncRNA from 1 species